rnacentral:tRNA from 1 species
CCUGGUGGCUCAGAUGGUAAAGCGUCUGCCUGCAAUGCAGGACACCCAGGUUUAAUUCCUGGGUCAGGA